UUGUCCGUGAGGAGAUAAUUUAAAAUAAAACCAUCUUUCGGGACUGAAUGAACUAUUGGUCUUGAUUUUAUCAAUUCUGCAAUUUUAAGACCU